CACUCACUGUACUGUAUGUCGCUUUGGAUAAAAGCGUUUGCUAAGUGACAUUUA
rfam:Salmo salar isolate Sally breed double haploid chromosome ssa12, whole genome shotgun sequence.